rnacentral:rRNA from 1 species
AACGCGAAGAACCUUACCAGGUCUUGACAUCCCUUGACAACUCCAGAGAUGGAGCGUUCCCUUCGGGGACAAGGUGACAGGUGGUGCAUGGUUGUCGUCAGCUCGUGUCGUGAGAUGUUGGGUUAAGUCCCGCAACGAGCGCAACCCUUAUUACUAGUUGCCAGCAUUCAGUUGGGCACUCAAAGGAGACUGCCGGUGACAAACCGGAGGAAGGUGGGGGUGACGUCAAAUCAUCAUGGUCCUUAUGACCUGGGCUACACACGUGCUACAAUGGCGUAUACAAAGAGAAGCCACCCCGCGAGGGCGAGCUAAUCUCAUAAAGUACGUCUCAGUUCGGAUUGUAGUCUGCAACUCGCCUACAUGAAGUCGGAAUCGCUAGUAAUCGCGGAUCAGCACGCCGCGGUGAAUACGUUCCCGGGUCUUGUACACACGC